rnacentral:rRNA from 1 species
AUUGAACGCUGGCGGCAGGCCUAACACAUGCAAGUCGAGCGGAUGAAGGGAGCUUGCUCCUGGAUUCAGCGGCGGACGGGUGAGUAAUGCCUAGGAAUCUGCCUGGUAGUGGGGGAUAACGUCCGGAAACGGGCGCUAAUACCGCAUACGUCCUGAGGGAGAAAGUGGGGGAUCUUCGGACCUCACGCUCUCAGAUGAGCCUAGGUCGGAUUAGCUAGUUGGUGGGGUAAAGGCCUACCAAGGCGACGAUCCGUAACUGGUCUGAGAGGAUGAUCAGUCACACUGGAACUGAGACACGGUCCAGACUCCUACGGGAGGCAGCAGUGGGGAAUAUUGGACAAUGGGCGAAAGCCUGAUCCAGCCAUGCCGCGUGUGUGAAGAAGGUCUUCGGAUUGUAAAGCACUUUAAGUUGGGAGGAAGGGCAGUAAGUUAAUACCUUGCUGUUUGACGUUACCAACAGAAUAAGCACCGGCUAACUUCGUG